UAAGCGGAGGAAAAGAAACUAACAAGGAUUCCCCUAGUAGCGGCGAGCGAAGCGGGAAAAGCUCAAAUUUGUAAUCUGGCGUCUACGACGUCCGAGUUGUAAUCUCGAGAAGUGUUUUCCGUGAUAGACCGCAUACAAGUCUCUUGGAACAGAGCGUCAUAGUGGUGAGAACCCAGUACACGAUGCGGAUGCCUAUUACUUUGUGAUACACUUUCGAAGAGUCGAGUUGUUUGGGAAUGCAGCUCAAAUUGGGUGGUAAAUUCCAUCUAAAGCUAAAUAUUGGCGAGAGACCGAUAGCGAACAAGUACCGUGAGGGAAAGAUGAAAAGCACUUUGGAAAGAGAGUUAACAGUACGUGAAAUUGUUGGAAGGGAAACACAUGCAGCCAGACUUGCUAUUCGGGGCAACUCGAUUGGCAGGCCCGCAUCAGUUUUUCGGGGCGGAAAAUCAUAGAGAGAAGGUAGCAAUUUCGGUUGUGUUAUAGCUCUUUAUUGGAUUCGCCCUGGGGGACUGAGGAACGCAGCGUGCUUUUAGCAUAAGCUUCGGCUUAUCCACGCUUAGGAUGCGGGUGUAAUGGCUGUAUAUGACCCGUCUUGAAACACG
rnacentral:rRNA from 1 species